rnacentral:rRNA from 1 species
UACGAACUGUGCAAACGUUAUUCGGAAUCACUGGGCUUACAGGGUGCGUAGGCGGCCAGACAAGUAGGGUGUGAAAGCCCCCGGCUUAACCGGGGAAUGGCGCCCUAAACUGUAUGGCUGGAGUGAGAUAGGGGUGUGCGGAACUUCCGGUGGAGCGGUGAAAUGUGUAGAGAUUGGAAAGAACACCGAUGGCGAAGGCACUUUACUGGGCUAUUACUAACACUCAGAGACGAAAGCUAGGGUAGCAAAUGGG